AUGCACGCUGGCGGCGUGCCUAAUACCUGCAAGUCGAGCGAACGGACGAGAAGCUUGCUUCUCUGAUGUUAGCGGCGGACGGGGGAGUAACACGUGGAUAACCUACCUAUAAGACUGGGAUAACUUCGGGAAACCGGAGCUAAUACCGGAUAAUAUUUUGAACCGCAUGGUUCAAAAGUGAAAGACGGUCUUGCUGUCACUUAUAGAUGGAUCCGCGCUGCAUUGCUAGUUGGUAAGGUAACGGCUUACCAAGGCAACGAUGCAUAGCCGACCUGAGAGGGUGAUCGGCCACACUGGAACUGAGACACGGUCCAGACUCCUACGGGAGGCAGCCGUAGGGAAUCUUCCGCAAUGGGCGAAAGCCUGACGGAGCAACGCCGCGUGAGUGAUGAAGGUCUUCGGAUCGUAAAACUCUGUUAUUAGGGAAGAACAUAUGUGUAAGUAACUGUGCACAUCUUGACGGUACCUAAUCAGAAAGCCACGGCUAACUCCGUG
rnacentral:rRNA from 1 species